rnacentral:rRNA from 1 species
AACGAACGCUGGCGGCAUGCCUAACACAUGCAAGUCGAACGAGACCUUCGGGUCUAGUGGCGCACGGGUGCGUAACGCGUGGGAACCUGCCCUUAGGUUCGGAAUAACUCCCCGAAAGGGGUGCUAAUACCGGAUAAUGUCUUCGGACCAAAGAUUUAUCGCCUUUGGAUGGGCCCGCGUUGGAUUAGCUAGUUGGUAGGGUAAAAGCCUACCAAGGCGACGAUCCAUAGCUGGUCUGAGAGGAUGAUCAGCCACACUGGGACUGAGACACGGCCCAGACUCCUACGGAAGGCAGCAGUGGGGAAUAUUGGACAAUGGGCGAAAGCCUGAUCCAGCAAGGCCGCGUGAGUGAUGAAGGCCUUAGGGUUGUAAAGCUCUUUUACCCGGGAUGAUAAUGACAGUACCGGGAGAAUAAGCACCGGCUAACUCCGU